UAUUAAAUAUUUAUUUAAAGUUUGAUUUUGGCUUUUAUGUUUGUGUUAUAUUUUUUUUGCAUGUAAAUUUUUUUGUGUUUAAUAUUAAAUUUUAAAUGGGUUUAAUUUAAUUAAUAAAUUAAUUGCAGCAUUUAAUUUUAAUAAUUAAAGUAAUUUAGAAUUAUAAUGUAUUUUAAUAUAAAUUAAAAAUGUGCCAGCAAUUGCGGUUAUACAUUUUAUAUAAAUAAAUAUUUUUUAUUAAAUAAUAUAUAUAUACUAUAUUUUAUUAAAAAUUUUAUUUAAAAUUAAAUUAGGUGAAAUUAUUUAUUUUUAUUAAUAAUUAAUAAAAUAUUAUUUAUUUAUGAAAUCUUUUUUAUAGACUAGGAUUAGAUACCCUAUUAUUUAUGAUAUAAAAUUUAAAUAGAGGAUUAAUAGUUAUGUUCUUUAAACUUAAAAAAAUUGGCGGUAUUUAAAUCUAAUUAGGGGAACUUGCUUUUUAAAUGAUAAUCCUCAAGUAAUCUUACUUAAGUUAAUAAUUUAUUUAUUGUCGUUAUCAGAUUAUUUUAUAAGAAAAAAAUUUUCUUAAUUAUUUUAUUGAAUAUUUAUUUCAGAUCAUUAUGUAGUUUAUACUUAAGUUAAUGUGAGUUACAAUAAAUUUUAUUUAUUAAACGAAUUUUAUAUUGAAAUAUAUAAAUUAAGGUGGACUUAAUAGUAAAAUUAAAAAUUGAAUUAUUUUGAAUUAAGAAUUAAAUAUGUACAUAUUGCCCGUCGCUCUCAUUUUAAAAUGAGAUAAGUCGUAACAAAGUAGAAGUACUGGAAAGUGUUUCUAGAAAGUU
rnacentral:ncRNA from 1 species